rnacentral:rRNA from 1 species
UACGGAGGAUCCGAGCGUUAUCCGGAUUUAUUGGGUUUAAAGGGUGCGCAGGCGGAGAGAUAAGUCAGUGGUGAAAAACUGCCGCUCAACGGUAGUCUUGCCAUUGAUACUGUCUUUCUUGAGUAUGGAUGAGGUAGGCGGAAUGUGCAGUGUAGCGGUGAAAUGCAUAGAUAUUGCACGGAACACCAAUUGCGAAGGCAGCUUACUGGACCAUUACUGACGCUCAGGCACGAAAGCGUGGGGAGUCAAACA